rnacentral:rRNA from 1 species
GGACUACUAGGGUAUCUAAUCCCGUUCGCUCCCCUGGCUUUCGUGUCUCAGCGUCUGCAAACCCCCAGCGAGCUGUUUUCACCAUUGGCGUUCCAGAUGAUAUCUACGCAUUUCACCGCUCCACCAUCUGUUCCGCUCGCCCCUAGGUUGCACAAGACAAGCAGUAUACCCAGCAGUUCCACGGUUGAGCCGUGGGAUUUCACAAGGUACUUACCCGUCCGCCUACACACGCUUUAAGCCCAGUGAUUCCGCCUAACGCUCGAGACCUCUGUAUUACCGCGGCUGCUGGCAC